rnacentral:rRNA from 1 species
CGAGGAUUCCCUCAGUAACGGCGAGUGAACGGGGAAAAGCCCAGCGCUAAAUCCCAUUGCUCUAACGGGUGAAGGGAAGUGUAGCGUAUAGUAGGCGAGUUCUCCUUGAUGGCUGUCGACUUAAGUUCUCCUUGACUGGGGUUCCAUAGAAGGUGAAAGGCCUGUUCAGUCGGCGGCCGUCUUGGAUUCCGUUUUACUUGGAGUCGGGUUGUUUGGGAACGCAGCCCAAAUUUGGUGGUAAACUUCAUCUAAGGCUAAAUACGGCCACGAGUCCGAUAGCAAACAAGUACCGUGAGGGAAAGUUGAAAAGUACUUUGAAGAGAGAGUUCAAGAGGACGUGAAACCGGUAGGAUGGAAACGGAUAGAGCCAACGAACUAGCUCGUAUUCAGCUAGUCGGUUGCGUGCAGUUUUUCUAGGCGCUUGAUAAGGUGCUUAGGGGAAUGUGGUAUGCGAUCGGCUAGUGCAUUUGCGAGUAAUGUGCGCCGAGGCGGGUGGCAUUCGUUCGGCAAACUGUUGGGAGAGGCUUCGUUCGCAAGAACUUAGAACCUACUGGCAGGGAGUCGAGUCGGAGCUGCACGUAGCUUUAUGGAGUUAGGUACAGACGCGCUGCUGCUGUGCUGGGCUAGUCGUAUGGUCGGUCGCAUGCRACUUGGCUGUAAUGGCUGGUCUUAGUGUGGUAGUAGUGCCCUGACUUCUCCUCGGUGUAAAAGUUGGUCAUCUCUCCGACCCGUCUUGAAACACGGACCAAGGAGUCUAGCGUAUACGCGAGUCAUUGAGUGUUAAAACUCAUAGGCGAAAUGAAAGUGAAGGUCUUCGUUUGGAGGCUGAUAUGCGAUCCGUUGUGUUUCGGCGCAGCGGAGCAGCAUAGCCCAAUCUCGACUGCUUGCAGUGGGGUUGCGGAAGAGCGUACGCGCUGGUACCCGAAAGAUGGUGAACUAUGCCUGAGCAGGAUGAAGCCAGAGGAAACUCUGGUGGAGGUCCGAAGCGCUUCUGACGUGCAAAUCGAUCGUCUGACUUGGGUAUAGGGGCGAAAGACUAAUCGAACCAUC